rnacentral:misc_RNA from 1 species
GAUGAAGAACGUAGCGAAAUGCGAUAAGUAAUGUGAAUUGCAGAAUUCAGUGAAUCAUCGAAUCUUUGAACGCACAUUGCGCCCGCCAGUAUUCUGCCGGGCAUGCCUGUUCGAGCGUCAUUUCAACCAUCAAGCCCCAGGCUUGUGUUGGGGACCUGCGGCUGCCGCAGGCCCUGAAAACCAGUGGCGGGCUCGCUGUCACACCGGGCGUAGUAGAUUUUAUCUCGCUCUGGGCGUGCUGCGGGUUCCGGCCGUUAAAAAACCCUUUUAACCCAAGGUUGACCUCGGAUCAGGUAGGAAUACCCGCUGAACUUAAGCAUAUCAAUAAGCGGAGGA